rnacentral:tRNA from 1 species
UUAAUCGAAACCAAAGUUUAGAGGUGUACCACUGUUAAUGAUAUCAUUGGGGUAUUGUACCCCCGAUUAAA